rnacentral:rRNA from 1 species
GACGAACGCUGGCGGCGUGCUUAACACAUACCGGUCGAACGGAAAGGCCCUGCUUUUGUGGGGUGCUCGAGUGGCGAACGGGUGAGUAACACGUGAGUAACCUGCCCUUGACUUUGGGAUAACUUCAGGAAACUGGGGCUAAUACCGGAUAGGAGCUCCUGCUGCAUGGUGGGGGUUGGAAAGUUUCGGCGGUUGGGGAUGGACUCGCGGCUUAUCAGCUUGUUGGUGGGGUAGUGGCUUACCAAGGCUUUGACGGGUAGCCGGCCUGAGAGGGUGACCGGCCACAUUGGGACUGAGAUACGGCCCAGACUCCUACGGGAGGCAGCAGUGGGGAAUAUUGCACAAUGGGCGGAAGCCUGAUGCAGCAACGCCGCGUGCGGGAUGACGGCCUUCGGGUUGUAAACCGCUUUCGCCUGUGACGAAGCGUGAGUGACGGUAAUGGGUAAAGAAGCACCGGCUAACUACGUG